UCUCCCUUCUGGAACUUACGGGAGUAAUCUAUCUCUCCCUCACAUUUGUACAUCUCUGUUUCACCAUGGACGCACCGCCAUUUUUAUACACACACACACAGAGCGACGAGCCGUCGCCUCCUUCCGGCGACCGACGCAACACAUUCAUCUUCGUCUCUCUCUCUCCGUGUCUCAGCCUCUCUUUUGCUGCUCAAACACACGCCGAUCUCCUUUCCUCUCUGUGUUGCUGUUGCCCGGUAGAUUCCGGCUACGUCAUUGCCUUUUCCGGACAGAUUUAGACAAAGACUUGACUCCAUUUUUUGUAACAGGAUAUAACAUGGAGAAGGAGCAGGAACAAAGUGGAUCGUGUGUCAAAGGCAUUUUGGAUUUUGAGAUUAGGUGACCGAAUUAGCUCUUUUUCUUCACCGCUGCUCAAGUCGAAUCACUACCUAACCCUUUGCGUCUGAAUAAUCGUAUGAAGUAUUAGUUGUGGCAUGUAUAGGAAGGGUAAUGUAUUUGGAUGUCUUAAUCUUUUCAUACACUUUUGUUAAAUAUAUUUUUUUAAAUAGAAAUUCAGGUUGUGCCUAUAUAUAUAGACGUUAUAUAGCAGUUUGUCGGUUUACCAAGUAAUGGAUAAUAAUUUAUCUCUGGUAAUUAGAUAUUUGUACCAAAAUGUGACAUCACUUAUUCGAUUAUUAAUUAAUCGGGUAAGGGGUGUUACACUUAUUAUUGAUAGAAGCUAAUUUAGAUUGGGAUUGACUGUCUUCUUGUGGUCUCUCAUUAAUUAUGAACAACUGGGGUGAGAUAUUGAUUCGUGGGAGAAGAUGGCACGAGUUGAUCAGUGAUGAGGAACUAUCUGGCCUAAGAAUUGGCUUGGUUUUUCCAGAGUGCAAUACUUUUUUAUUCUUUCACUGUUCAUGAAAAUGUCGGGUUUCUGUUGUAAAAUAUUGUCUUUAUAAAUAGUUUUUGCUUCAUUGUUA